rnacentral:rRNA from 1 species
AAAAAUCGAUUCCCUGAGUAGCGGCGAGCGAAACGGGAAGAGCCCAAACCAACAAGCUUGCUUGUUGGGGUUGUAGGACACUCUAUACGGAGUUACAAAAGAACAUGUUAGACGAAUCAUCUGGAAAGAUGAAUCAAAGAAGGUAAUAAUCCUGUAGUCGAAAACAUAUUCUCUCUUGAGUGGAUCCUGAGUACGACGGAGCACGUGAAAUUCCGUCGGAAUCUGGGAGGACCAUCUCCUAAGGCUAAAUACUCUCUAGUGACCGAUAGUGAACCAGUACCGUGAGGGAAAGGUGAAAAGUACCCCGGAAGGGGAGUGAAAGAGAACUUGAAACCGUGUGCUUACAAGUAGUCAGAGCCCGUUAAUGGGUGAUGGCGUGCCUUUUGUAGAAUGAACCGGCGAGUUACGAUCUGAUGCAAGGUUAAGCAGCAAAUGUGGAGCCGCAGCGAAAGCGAGUCUGAAUAGGGCGUUGAGUAUUUGGUCGUAGACCCGAAACCAGGUGAUCUACCCUUGGUCAGGUUGAAGUUCAGGUAACACUGAAUGGAGGACCGAACCGACUUACGUUGAAAAGUGAGCGGAUGAACUGAGGGUAGCGGAGAAAUUCCAAUCGAACUUGGAGAUAGCUGGUUCUCUCCGAAAUAGCUUUAGGGCUAGCCUCAAGUGAUGAUUAUUGGAGGUAGAGCACUGUUUGGACGAGGGGCCCCUCUCGGGUUACCGAAUUCAGACAAACUCCGAAUGCCAAUUAAUUUAACUUGGGAGUCAGAACAUGGGUGAUAAGGUCCGUGUUCGAAAGGGAAACAGCCCAGACCACCAGCUAAGGUCCCAAAAUAUAUGUUAAGUGGAAAAGGAUGUGGCGUUGCCCAGACAACUAGGAUGUUGGCUUAGAAGCAGCCAUCAUUUAAAGAGUGCGUAAUAGCUCACUAGUCGAGUGACACUGCGCCGAAAAUGUACCGGGGCUAAACAUAUUACCGAAGCUGUGGAUUGUCCUUUGGACAAUGGUAGGAGAGCGUUCUAAGGGCGUCGAAGCAUGAUCGCAAGGACAUGUGGAGCGCUUAGAAGUGAGAAUGCCGGUGUGAGUAGCGAAAGACGGGUGAGAAUCCCGUCCACCGAUUGACUAAGGUUUCCAGAGGAAGGCUCGUCCGCUCUGGGUUAGUCGGGUCCUAAGCUGAGGCCGACAGGCGUAGGCGAUGGAUAACAGGUUGAUAUUCCUGUACCACCUAGUAUCGUUUUAAUCGAUGGGGGGACGCAGUAGGAUAGGCGAAGCGUGCUGUUGGAGUGCACGUCCAAGCAGUAAGGCUGAGUGUUAGGCAAAUCCGGCACUCAUAAGGCUGAGCUGUGAUGGGGAGAGGANCGACACAGGUAGUCAAGAUGAGAAUUCUAAGGUGAGCGAGCGAACUCUCGUUAAGGAACUCGGCAAAAUGACCCCGUAACUUCGGGAGAAGGGGUGCUCUUUAGGGUUCACGCCCAGAAGAGCCGCAGUGAAUAGGCCCAAGCGACUGUUUAUCAAAAACACAGGUCUCUGCUAAACCGUAAGGUGAUGUAUAGGGGCUGACGCCUGCCCGGUGCUGGAAGGUUAAGAGGAGUGGUUAGCUUCUGCGAAGCUACGAAUCGAAGCCCCAGUAAACGGCGGCCGUAACUAUAACGGUCCUAAGGUAGCGAAAUUCCUUGUCGGGUAAGUUCCGACCCGCACGAAAGGCGUAACGAUUUGGGCACUGUCUCAACGAGAGACUCGGUGAAAUCAUAGUACCUGUGAAGAUGCAGGUUACCCGCGACAGGACGGAAAGACCCCGUGGAGCUUUACUGUAGCCUGAUAUUGAAAUUCGGCACAGCUUGUACAGG